rnacentral:rRNA from 1 species
UACGGAGGGUGCAAGCAUUAAUCGGAUUUAUUGGGCGUAAAGGGCGCGUAGGCGGCCACGCACGUCCGUUGUGAAAUCGCCCGGCUCAACUGGGCGGGGUCAGCGGAUACGGUGUGGCUCGAGCAAGCUAGGGGGCAAUGGAAUUCCCGGUGUAGUGGUGGAAUGCGUAGAUAUCGGGAGGAACACCAGUGGCGAAGGCGGUUGCCUGGAGCUUUGCUGACGCUGAGGCGCGAAAGCGUGGGGAGCAAACAGGG